rnacentral:rRNA from 1 species
CCCUCCUCCCUGUAAACGGAAAACGGCCUACUCAGAAAUUCCCAGCAUCCCAAUCGUGUCCGCCUCCACUCCACUAGAUCACCGACCACCGUGGUCCUGCCCGCCCACAGAGCACACGGUACGCACUGCGCCGCCUAGGCCGAUACCAGAAGCCAUCUCCUGCUCCCCACGUCUCCACUCCGGCGAGAAAUGCGGCGCCCUUCGGUUCAAGAUGGGCUGACGCGGCAGCUCGGAUCGGUGGCAUCGACUCGGCAGUAAGACUGCCCGCGGAUUCGUCGGCGGGAGCCCGCGGAUUUCCAGCUUGUCGUUGUGCAGGCAGGUGGGGAAUUUUUUCUAACCUACUUUGGACUUUGAAGGGAAAACAGAAGAGGGGGUACCUGCUCAGCAGAAAGUGGUCGCAAGUAGGCAAACUGUAAAACAUGGGGAUGUGGCAUCUAUCCUAAGAUGGCCGUCAUCAUCUAAGAGUGAGGAUCAGGAGAAGGGCGUGACAAGAAGAUGCUGAAGAAACUGAUAUCGAAGACCAAGAGCAAGAAGAAGAAGGAGGCUGCCUCUUCUUCCCUCCCCACCUUGGAUCGACUACAUGAGACCCUAGAAAUGCUGGAGAAGAAAGAGCGUUUGCUUCAGAAAAAGUCUUCCGCGGAAAUAGAAAAGGCUAAGGACUAUACAAAGGCAAAGAAUAAGAAUGCUGCAAUUCAGUGUUUAAAGAAAAAGAAGUUGUAUGAGACACAGAUUGAGCAGCUAUCAAAUUUUCAGUUGCGAGUUCAUGAUCAGAUUAUAAUGCUUGAAAAUGCGAAGGCAACAACUGACACUGUUGAUGCUUUGCGCUCUGGGUCAUCUGCUGUCAAAGCUAUUCAACAGUCCCUGAGUAUUGAUGACAUUGAGAAUGCAAUCGAAGAGGCGAACGAGCAUACGGAAAAUAUGAAACAGAUACAGGAUGCACUUGCUACACCAUUCGGUGCUUCGGCUGAAUUCGACGAGGACGAGUUGGAGGCAGAACUGGAAGACCUCGAGGAGGAAGAACUGGACCUGGAGCUGCCUGAACCGCCGCGGGGGACACACGUGGCACCAUCAACGUCGGCUGCGACUUCUCGACCGGCGGCUAGCGAUUUCGCUGAACUGACCAAACUUCAAGCAGAGAUGGCGCUUUAGGGAUCUGCUAUAAAAAUACUGCGCGGCUAGCGAUUUCGCUGAGCUGACCAAACUUCGAGCAAAGUUGGCGCUUUAGGGAUCUGCUGUAAAAAUACUGCGGUUUGGAGGGAAUGCUGUCAUUGAAACCUCAGAGGCUCACUGCCAUCAUUGCGGCGUGCAUGUAAAAUUCAGGCUAUGUUGUAAGAGCAUCCACCCCUGUUAAUUUCCUGCAUGAUGUUUGGCCUCUAUCUGCGUGCAAUGUCCCCUACACGACCGUGGACACGCCCAG